CAACGCUCCCCGCCAUCGCCGCGUGCGUCACCCCCAUCCUCAUCCUUACCCCCACCAACAGCCUCGGAGCCUGCGGUGAAGCGUGUCCACACCCCUCCUGCCGGAGUCGUGGACCCCCCACCAGCAGCACCGAAGCCAGCUCCUCUCACUAAGCACCAGCCCGAACCCACCUCCAACAUCCGGGAAAUCAUCAAGCUAUACAACAGCCGACCCGAGCCGGAAGCCAAACCCUUUGAGUCCGUCAGACCUGCUGCGCGGCAUUUCUUAAAGAAGAAUGACCCCAAAGACGAAGCUCUGGCCAAACUCCAGAAC